AUUGAACGCUGGCGGCAGGCCUAACACAUGCAAGUCGAACGAGUGGCGGACGGGUGAGUAAUGUCUGGGAAACUGCCCGAUGGCGGGGGAUAACUACUGGAAACGGUAGCUAAUACCGCAUACCAUAGGAUGUACCCAGAGGUGAUUAGCUAUUCGGUGGGUUAACGGCUCACCUAGGAGUCGAUCCCUAGCUGGUCUGAGAGGAUGACCAGCCACAAUGGAACUGAGAAACGGUCCAGACUCCUACGGGAGGCAGCAGUGGGGAAUAUUCCGCAAUGGGCGAAAGCCUGAUGCAGCAAUGCCGCGUGAGGGAUGAAGGUCUUCGGAGGGUAAAGUUCUUUCAUCAGGGAAGCGGUACCUACUCAGGAAGCAACGGCUAACUCCGUGCCAGCAGCCGCGGUAAUAC
rnacentral:rRNA from 1 species